rnacentral:rRNA from 1 species
UAAGGAAUAUUGGUCAAUGGACGCAAGUCUGAACCAGCCAUGCCGCGUGAAGGAAGACGGCCCUACGGGUUGUAAACUUCUUUUGUACGGGAAAAAAUCUCCGGUCGUGAAUCGGAGCUGAUGGUACCGUAAGAAUAAGCAUCGGCUAACUCCGUGCCAGCAGCCGCGGUAAUACGGAGGAUGCAAGCGUUAUCCGGAUUCAUUGGGUUUAAAGGGUGCGCAGGCGGAAUGAUAAGUCAGUGGUGAAAUCCUACGGCUCAACUGUAGAACUGCCAUUGAUACUGUCGUUCUUGAGUACACUUGGAGUGGGCGGAAUGUGUCAUGUAGCGGUGAAAUGCUUAGAUAUGACACAGAACACCGAUCGCGAAGGCAGCUCACUAAAUUGUAACUGACGCUCAGGCACGAAAGCGUGGGGAUCAAACAGG